rnacentral:rRNA from 1 species
AGUGAACGCUGGCGGCGUGCUUAACACAUGCAAGUCGAACGAUGAAGAUACUGCUUGCAGUAUUGGAUUAGUGGCGCACGGGUGAGUAAUAUAUAGUUAACGUGCCUCUUAGUCUGGGAUAGCCAUUGGAAACGAUGAUUAAUACUAGAUACUCCUUCUCAUUCUAAUUUGAGUUGGGAAAGUUUUUCGCUAAGAGAUCGGACUAUAUCGCAUCAGUUAGUUGGUGGGGUAAUGGCCUACCAAGACAAUGACGCGUAGCGGGUUUGAGAGGAUGAUCCGCCACACUGGUACUGAGACACGGACCAGACUCCUACGGGAGGCAGCAGUGAGGAAUAUUGCACAAUGGGGGAAACCCUGAUGCAGCAACGCCGCGUGGAGGAUGACGCAUUUCGGUGUGUAAACUCCUUUUAUGAGUCAAGAAAAUGACGGUAGCUCAUGAAUAAGCACCGGCUAACUCCGUGCCAGCCGCCG